AUAAUUUAAAUUUAAUAUUUAAAUAUUUAACAUUUUUAACAAUUUUAAAUAUAUUUUAAAAUUAAAUAUUUAAUACUAAAUAUUCUCGCAGGUCAGACCAAGUCUUAAAAAUCUUAACCAAAAUUUUGUUUAUUUUCCAAUACCGACAGCAGCUAACUCGCUGAAGCAAUUGUAGCAGCGGAGGUAGUGAAAGAAGCUGACCUAUCAAAGAGAGAGCUUUCCCUUCAUAUGCCUAUGGGAAAGGAAAGGUUGUUGAAAGCUGUUAUAAGCCACAUUGCUUUGGUUCAAUCCAAACUUGAGACUUCCUUCAUGCUUUUUUCACUAGUCAAAUAGGUUCCUUUGAAGGGCUUUCUUUCUCUUACGCAAUUGAAAGUGUCGACUUCAAUAGAUCUAGGUUGGAGCAACUAUAAUUUCUUGUUGGCGUUAUUAAAAGAUAUAUAUACAUUAUUUGAAAGUUGGAAAAGCUCUUUUAUCGUAAGUCUUUUUUCUACUUGUGAAAUUAUAAUGGUUUCAUGGAUGGCAUAUUUUUUCCAUAUAAUUCAAGCUACAAAUAUAAUUUUCAAGUCUUGAAAACAACCCAAUCCAAACGAAUACUCACCAAACAUAAAUCAAUUUCAACUUAAUCUAUGAGUAUUCUUAAACUCAAAAUAAUUCUUCAUACAUACACAACCAUAAACAUUAUCCCUUAAUAUAUAGUUUUAUCUUUUAUUACUAUGGAGUCUCCUUUAUUUUCUUUUAACGUUCUCAAAAGUUUUUCAAAGAAAUAAAUAGCAAAAAACUGUAUAUUUAAUUCAUCCAUUUAGCAAAAUCAUUUAGAGCAAAUAGAUAAUUUUAAUUUUUUUUUAAUACAAUCAAAGGUAUCUGAACCUUUUCUCUAGACUACGCUUUUCCUAAAGACACCUUAGGAGAACCGUCAUAUCAACUUGGAAGAUUUAAAAUAAUUUUUCUUUUAAUUUUAAAUGUUAUUAAUCAAUUAAAAAUGGAUUCAUACUCAUGUUUUAAUAAAUUGGGCCAAAGAUUGAAUUGGUUGUCUUUUUGGUUCUCAAUUUAACCGAUUCAAAAUGAUAGAAAAUUUUUGUAUUUUUAGAAAUUUUAAAAAAUUUAGAAAAAUAAAAAUAUAAAAAAUAAAAUAUAUAUGAAAAAGGUUUAAAUCUAGAACAACUAAAAACACUUAAAACUCAAAUCAUAUAUAUAUAUAUAUAUAUUUAUAUUAUAUUAUAUUACAACAUAUAUAGUUACUAGAUAGUAAUUGCUGACGUGGAGGCUUAUGUGGAUAGUUUUUUUUUUCGACACGUAAGAUAAUCCUUAAAAUUUUUUAUUAUUAUGAUACAUAAGAUAUUUAUUAAUUUUAAAUUAUUUAUAAAAAUAUAUUUUAAAAAUUAUUAAAUUGUCUAAAAUUUUAAAAUUUAAUCAAAAAUCAAUUUAAAUUCUAAUGAAAUUCUUUUAUUUUGUACAUCAUUUUAUCUUAAUUUAAAAUCAAUUUAAAAAAUUUAUCUUUUUUAAUUUAUUUACAAUUAACAUGAGUAUUUAAAUUUAUCACAACUUUUAAAAAUAUUAUUUAAUAUCUUUAAUAUUUUUGAUAAAUACUUAUUACAUUAUUUUCAACUUUUAAAUAUAUUUCAUAAAGAAAUUGUAAUAUAUAUAUAACCAAACACAUGUCCUAACACAAUCAUAUAUACCUUGACAAAAAUGAAGACGAGAUUAUUUUCUAUGUUACAAAUUGGGAAUUAUUUGUCUGGCAAUUAGUGGACCAGUUCAACUUAAUGAAAAGACAAGUGCAUAAUUUCCAAAAUUAAAAUAAUAAAAUAAAGCCACAUAUAUCAAUGACACUUCCACACUUACAACAUCUUUUAAGCCUUUCAUGUGCAACUAAACAAAAUUGAUAUAUAUUUUCUACACUUUUUAGUCAAUAUGAUUGCAGGAAUAUUUUAUGGUCUAAAUUUAUAAUAUGUUUGAGAAAUUAGUUAUCAAGAAUCCAGUUAUAUUCUAAACUUUGUCAUACCUUUACAAUAAAAAUGUUAGCAAUAGAAAUUUUUCAAGAUAUUUGUUGUGAAUAGAGUCAAGAUGUAAAACGACAAAAAAACUAUUAGAUAAAGGUAUAAAAUACCAAAAUUUAAAUAUUAUUAUCUAAUUAGAUAUUAUCUAUAGAAAAAUUUAUUAUUUAAAUAUAUUUAUGGAUUAAAGUUUAUCAAGAUUUAAAUGAAAAAUCAAUUUAAAUAUACGAUAAUUAAAUAGAUAAAAUUAUUAUUUAAAUAUAUUUAUGGAUUAAAUAAAAUUAUAAAGCUUGAUUCUUUACCGUCUUUCCAUUCAACUUAUUUUUCAAACAACAUUCCAUCUUCUCACAGACUUUAGUAUUACUCUUUUAUUACUCUUCCAUUUAAGUUGGAUUUAUUUUUUCUUUUCUAUUUUGUUGAGGUAAGCUCUCUUAGUUUAAUUUUGAUUUUUUUUUUUUGCACUUAAGUAAAUGAAUAGAACAGAAUGCCAAGAACAUAUAAAGCAAUACAACAUGCAAAUGAGCUUUUAUAUACUAUAUGUUAGAGAUCACUUCUGGAACUUGAACAAGCUUACAAAAGAAGAUUUCUGUUGCUAAUUGAUGAGGCCAUAAUCAAUUUAUUAGAAGAUAGCUGCAGAUUAUGAAUAACCUUUAAUCCUUUCAUUAACCCAAAAAUGAAAAUAAAAAAAGAAAAAAUAUACAAUAGAUUGGCUUUCAUAUUAAGCUAUUUCAAUUUAGAUUGUUUCAUUGUACAAUGAUGAAGCCUCUUUAAAAGCUAAGGAAAUUAUAUUAUUAUUGUCAUAUCAUCAUUUUCACAUCAUGUUAUUAAAAUGCAUAUUGCUUUUUUUCUGGGAAUUAAGAUUACAAAUUUUCUUAUGUUCUAAGUAAACUAACACUUACUGUUUACUUGACAGUUCUUGCAAAAAGAGGCUCUAAUCUUGAGAUUUUCUAUUUUGUUAAGGUAAGCUCUCUUAGUUUAAUUUUGACUUUUUUUUAUUGCACUUAAAUAAAUAAAUAGAACAUAAUGCCAAGAACAUGUAAAGCAAAAUAACAUGCAAAUGAGCUUUUAUAUACCGUAUGUUAGAGAUCAUUUAUAGAACUUCAACAAGAUUACAAAAAAAGCAAAAAUUCUAUUACUAACUGAUGAGGUCAUAAUCAAUUUAUUAAAAGAUAGCAGUAGAUUAUGAAUAAUAUUUAAUCCUUUCAUUAACCCAAAAAUUAAAAAAAAAGAAAAGAAAGAUAUACAAUAGAUUGGCUUUCAUAUUAAGCUAUUUCAAUUCAGAUUGUUUCAUUGUACAAUGAUGAAGCCUAUUUAAAAGCUAAGGAAACUAUCUUAUUAUUGUCAUAUCAUCAUUUUCACAACAUUUUAUUAAAAUGCACAUUGCUUUCUUUCCAUGGGAAUUAAGAUUACAAAUUUUCUUAUGUUCUAAAUAGACUAACAUUUACUGUUUACUUGAUAGGUC
rnacentral:lncRNA from 1 species